GCCGUCUUAACUCAGUUGAUAGAGUGCUAAAUUCGUAAUUUAGAAGCCGUGGGUUUGAAUCCCGCAGACGGCACCA
rnacentral:tRNA from 2 species